CUGGGAUAUUCCAAUAACAGGAUCUCUUCUCAAGAAGUUGUAAAUCAAUAAAGUGCUUUAUUCAGUAAAGUGCACAUAAAUUUGUCCAACUAUAAGGACUACCUUCAGACUGUAAGGUUUUUUAUUUACUUUUAACAGUUUUAUGGAAAUUUAUGUGCACUUUACUGAAUAAAGCACUUUAUUGAUUUGCAAUCACCUGAGAAAAGUUCCUGUCAUUGGAAUAUCC